CUUUUUGCGGUUUGGGCUUGCUGUUCAUCUAAUAGCCGGCAAGCCCUUACCCCAAAAAGCAU
rnacentral:pre_miRNA from 1 species